rnacentral:rRNA from 1 species
AUUGAACGCUGGCGGCAUGCCUUACACAUGCAAGUCGAACGGCAGCACGGGAGCAAUCCUGGUGGCGAGUGGCGAACGGUGAGUAAUGUAUCGGAACGUACCUUCAGUGGGGAUAACGUAGCGAAAGUUACGCUAAUACCGCAUAUUCUGUGAGCAGGAAAGCAGGGGAUCGCAAGACCUUGCGCUGAUUGAGCGGCCGAUAUCAGAUUAGCUAGUUGGUGAGGUAAAGGCUCACCAAGGCGACGAUCUGUAGCGGGUCUGAGAGGAUGAUCCGCCACACUGGAACUGAGACACGGUCCAGACUCCUACGGGAGGCAGCAGUGGGGAAUUUUGGACAAUGGGCGCAAGCCUGAUCCAGCCAUGCCGCGUGAGUGAAGAAGGCCUUCGGGUUGUAAAGCUCUUUCAGCCGGGAAGAAAACGCAUGGGUUAAUACCCUGUGUGGAUGACGGUACCGGAAUAAGAAGCACCGGCUAACUACGUG